rnacentral:rRNA from 1 species
AGAGUUUGAUCAUGGCUCAGAUUGAACGCUGGCGGCAUGCCUUACACAUGCAAGUCGAACGGCAGCGCGGGGGCAACCCUGGCGGCGAGUGGCGAACGGGUGAGUAAUACAUCGGAACGUGUCCUGGAGUGGGGGAUAGCCCGGCGAAAGCCGGAUUAAUACCGCAUACGAUCUAUGGAUGAAAGCGGGGGACCGAAAGCCUCGCGCUCAAGGGGCGGCCGAUGGCAGAUUAGCUAGUUGGUGGGGUAAAGGCCUACCAAGGCGACGAUCUGUAGCUGGUCUGAGAGGACGACCAGCCACACUGGGACUGAGACACGGCCCAGACUCCUACGGGAGGCAGCAGUGGGGAAUUUUGGACAAUGGGGGCAACCCUGAUCCAGCAAUGCCGCGUGUGUGAAGAAGGCCUUCGGGUUGUAAAGCACUUUUGUCCGGAAAGAAAACCUCCGUCCUAAUACGGUGGGGGGAUGACGGUACCGGAAGAAUAAGCACCGGCUAACUACGUGCCAGCAGCCGCGGUAAUACGUAGGGUGCAAGCGUUAAUCGGAAUUACUGGGCGUAAAGCGUGCGCAGGCGGUUCGCUAAGACCGAUGUGAAAUCCCCGGGCUUAACCUGGGAACUGCAUUGGUGACUGGCGGGCUAGAGUAUGGCAGAGGGGGGUAGAAUUCCACGUGUAGCAGUGAAAUGCGUAGAGAUGUGGAGGAAUACCGAUGGCGAAGGCAGCCCCCUGGGCCAAUACUGACGCUCAUGCACGAAAGCGUGGGGAGCAAACAGGAUUAGAUACCCUAGUAGUCC